AUUGAACGCUAGCGGGAUGCCUUACACAUGCAAGUCGAACGCAGAGGCGAACGGGUGAGUAAUGUAUCGGAACGUGCCCAGUAGCGGGGGAUAAAUACGCGAACGCGUAGCUAAUACAGCAUACUAUUGAAGCGGCCGAUAGCGGCGUAGCUGGGUGGUGGGGUAACGGCUCACCACGGCGACGAUCCGUAGCCGGUUUGAGAGGACGACCAGCCACACUGGGACGGAGACACGGCCCAGACUCCUACGGGAGGCAGCAGUGGGGAAUUUUGGACAAGGGGGGAAACCCUGAUCCAGCCAUACCGCGUGUGCGAUGAAGGCUUUCGGGUUGUAAAGCACUGUUGUCAGGAAAGCGGUACCUGCAGAGUACGCACCGGCUAACUACGUGCCAGCAGCCGCGGUAAUUC
rnacentral:rRNA from 1 species